rnacentral:rRNA from 1 species
UACGGAGGGGGCUAGCGUUGUUCGGAAUUACUGGGCGUAAAGGGCUCGUAGGCGGCCAACUAAGUCGGAUGUGAAAUCCCCAGGCUUAACUUGGGAACUGCAUCCGAUACUGGAUGGCUUGAAUCCGGGAGAGGGAUGCGGAAUUCCAGGUGUAGCGGUGAAAUGCGUAGAUAUCAGGAGGAAUACCGAUGGCGAAGGCAGCCCCCUGGGUCGAUACUGACGCUCAUGCACGAAAGCGUGGGGAGCAAACAGG